rnacentral:rRNA from 1 species
GACGAACGCUGGCGGCGUGCCUAACACAUGCAAGUGAAGCGACGAACCGGGGCUUGCCCCGGGGCAGAGCCGCGAACGGGUGAGUAACACGUGGGUAACCCACCCCGAUGACCGGGACAACCCGAGGAAACUCGGGCUAAUACCGGAUGUGCUCCUUGACCAUGAGGUCAAGGCGUAAAGAUAGCUUCGGCCUUCGCAUCGGGACGGGCCCGCGGCCCAUUAGCUUGUUGGUGGGGUAACGGCCUACCAAGGCGACGAUGGGUAGCUGGUCUGGGAGGACGAUCAGCCACACUGGGACUGAGACACGGCCCAGACUCCUACGGGAGGCAGCAGUGGGGAAUCUUGCGCAAUGGGCGAAAGCGUGACGCAGCAACGCCGCGUGGGGGAAGAAGGCCUUCGGGUUGUAAACCCCUUUCAGUUGGGACGAAGCUUCGCCGGUGAAUAGCCGGCUGGAGUGACGGUACCUUCACAAGAAGCCCCGGCUAACUACGUGCCAGCCGCCGCAGUAAUAC